rnacentral:sRNA from 1 species
CUUUAUGACAUGUGACCAGCUGCCUCAUGCUCCUGCUGACCUGCUUUUCCUACCACAGUGGGCUCUAUACUGUUGAACUAUAAAGCAAAAUCAACCCUUUCUCCCAAAAACAAACCCACAAAACCCCACUCAGGAUUAUUCUUCCAGUGUUUGAAAAUCCUUACUGAUUGAGCAAAGAAUCCACUCAUGUCAUUGUCCAACAGCUCAAGUUCUGACUCACAGUCUUGUUUCACUUUUGCCUUGUCCAUUUACAUAAACUGUGUUGUCACCAAGGACUCACAUUGAAGCUACGCCCAGGUCCCCUAUGACUAUAGACUGAGUGCAGAGGAAGGAUGCAGCAAAAAUGAACCAGAGCACUGUCAUGACCCCAGCUGUGUAGACUGUCCUAUAUGCACCGCACACCGCUAUCAGGUAUACAUACCCUUUGCAUUUAUAAGAAAGGUUGCUCUCACAUCUGUGAGGCUGAGGUAGGCUGAUAGACACACCUGAGGCUUCCAUCAACCCAUGAUGGAGUCAGAGUCCACUAGUGAAGGAGCUGUUUGACCCGCAAGGAAAAGGUGUGGCUUGGUACAACUCAGUCAGGGCAGGAGACUGUGGGAAAUGUGUCCUCAGAACACAGAAUAAGUUUUCAGUAAGAGGUUUUAGUCAACCAUAUUCCUUAUAUGUAUUAUUUAUUUUUUGAGAUUGUUUUCUAAAGAUUUAAUUAUUCAAUUAUAUUUAUUAUUUUAAGUGUAUGAGUGUUUUGCCUGCAUAUAUGUAUGUAUGUACAUCAUGUGAAGGCCUGGUACCUGGAAAGGUCAGAAAAGAACAUCGGAUCCCCUAUAGCUGGAGUUACGGUUUUAAGCUACUAUGUGGGUGCUUGGAAUUGAACCUGGGGCCUCUUCAAGAGCAAUGAGUGCUCUUAACCACUGAGCCAACUCUCUGGCCCUGAGAAUUUCAAGUGUUGUAUUUUGGUUACAUGCCCUUCCCCUUCCCAGCUCCUCUCAGAUCCAGUCCCCGUCCAUACCUAGCCAACUUUGUGUGCUUCUCUUUGUUCUGUUUAUAAGCUCAUCCAUUCCAAUUACUGCUGGCUAUAGAUUUUUGGGUGUGUGGCCAUUCACUAGCCCGUGUUCAACAGAGACCAAUGUCUUUGAAGAAAAUGGAGUCUCCUUUGCUCAGCAGAUAUCAAUUACCAAUAGUUCCUCAGCUAGGGAUGGGACUUCACGCCUAUCUCUUCCCUCUAUGAGGGCAUCUUGUCUGGCUUGAGCUUGCAUAGGUCUUGUGGGUGCUAUCACAGUUGUGGAAAAUUCAUGUGUGCGACCACCCUGUUGUGUCUGGAAAAUGUGCUUCACUGUAUCUGCUGCCUCUGGCUCUUACAAUCUAUGUACCUCCUCUUACACGAUGACCCCUGAAUCUUGUCUAGAAAAGGGUGUGACACAUAUGCCACUCUGCCACCCGUGAUACUUGAACUAAGUUUUCUUCAAGACAUAUUCCAAUGGCCUUCAUACCAGCACUGAAAAUGAUACUGAGGGGAGCCUGCCCUGUGGAUUUCUGUGGGUUUUCUCCGUGUAGCCCUACCUGUCCUGGAACAAGUUCUGUAGGCAGGCUGGCCUAGAACUCACAGAGAUCUGCCUGCCUCUGCCUCCUGAGUGCUGGGAACAAAAGAUGUGCACCACCACCACCACCACCACCACCACCACCGGGCUGGCACACUCUGAAGGACAGUUCUCUGUGGCCGAGGACAAUUCCUAUUUUAAAGUCAGGUGUACAUAGCCAACUGUGGGUUUCCCCACUGUUUAUCCACCCUCCUGAGAAGGUUUUGCUAAUUUAUAAUAUUAGAUCUACUUCAAAAACUUGUCUUCAUUUUGUCUGAUGCAUCGAAUCAUUUUGUGUGGUGCUUGUUAACAUCCUAUAGUGUUAGUUAGCAUGCAGGAACACUUGCCUGAAGAAGAAGGCAAGAGCCCAUCCUAAGGGGCUGAGUGCUUGCUAAGCACUCUUUCCUUGGGCUGUAGGGUAGAGAAGCUGUUCAGCUGUGAGCACACUUUAGUGAAAACACUUGGGAGAGGGAUGGGGGUUGAUUUGGUGUGGUAGCCAUGGCAUCAGCAAGUCUAUUUAAGAAUCUGUCUUGUCUUCCUCAAGGAUGAUGAUGUGAGCUGGGUACCAGUCGCAGAAGGGAGAUGCAGAUCAGAAGAAUGUGUAAGAGAGGACCAAAACAUCUGAGGCAGAUGAGGAGGUACAGGAAACGCUUGCUACACUGUCACUGGAUGCAUGAGAUACAGGGAGAGCUACAGUCCAGCCAGGAAGAUGACCAAUAACAUGCUCGCCUGGACUUUAGAUUUGGAUUUGGUGGAGAGCUGAUCCCACGUUUUAGAAGCAUUGUCACAACUUCAUCUACCUGAUGGAUUCUUACUGCAUGGAUAGGAGGGUUGCUGAGAGCACAAGGGCACACCCAGAUUGAAGACUGCUGCCUGAUUUGGAUCUACUACAGAUGGACUGGGGAGAUGGGCAAAUCUAAGGUGCCCUUGAAAAUUAAGUCUGCACACAUAUUAAGUCUUUUACGGUAAAUGCAGCUGGGUCCUGGAUUUCAAAUUACUCUUCAGUUGCAUCAGUGUAAGGGAAACCUUAUAUGAUUCACUUUAUAUUUUUUGAAAAUUUAUGCCAAUGUCUUUUCUUCCCAAAAGCUGACUUAAAAAAAUAAACUGAAUAUAAAUGUCCUGUUAAAUAUAGUUGUUUAUUGAAAAGAACAUAUUUCUAAAACACCUUUUGAAAUUUUUUUUUCAACAAAUUGUCAAUCUCAAAAGAAAGCUAAUUGUUUGUGUGUUGAUAGGCAGAAUGAUUAGUGGUCAUCAAAGAAGACUGUGGGAAACAAAUUAGCCUGGGUUACUAAAGUGUCAGCCUGGUGUUUUCUACAAGCAGGUUCCUCCCUGGCUCACCUCAUUAUAAAGCUAACAUGAAAAGCGCUUAGAAGCCUUGCAGUUCUGCUGCAGCUCUUCUUCACAGCAACAAAGUGUGAAGGACAUUUAAUUAGCUGGAGCAGCCUUGAGGAUGAUUUAGCUAUUAAAAAAGACAGGAGAGAGGAGAAAGUGGAAAAGAGGAGAAGUGCACUUAAUCUACAACUAUGCAAAUUGUCUCCUAUUCCAGACAUCUCUAUUCUAUUUAAAGAAUGACAAAAUAUGGUAAAACAGUUCCGAGUAAAAGAAUGGAAUCCGCUUUGUACUUGAAGUAAACAUUUUCAAAAGUGGUUAGCUUUCACAGAGUAAAGGCCCUGGAAGGAGAAAAGUUACCGAUGGUCCUACCUUACAGUACUGCAAGGCACAGUGUGCCUACUGCUGAAAUAACAGCGUGAGGGUUUCCAACCACUUGCUGAUCCGAUUUUAGGCCUAGAAAGAGUUCUUUCUUCUUUCCAUAACGUUCAUUCAUUCUUUCAAAAUUCCAUGCAUACCAGAGCAGCAAAUUCUCUUAGCCAAAGAGUGUCUCUCCAGCUUUUUAUCCUUAUAAUAUGUCUACUACGAUGGUGGGUGGCUCACUGGUGAAAAGCCCUCUCUCUACAAGCCUGACAACUUGAGUUUGAGCCCCAGAAUACA